UACGGAGGGUGCGAGCGUUGUCCGGAAUCAUUGGGCGUAAAGGGCGCGUAGGUGGCGGGACAAGCGUGCGGUGAAAGCCUGGGGCUCAACCCCGGGUCGGCCGUGCGAACUGUUUUGCUUGAGCACUGUAGAGGCAGGCGGAAUUCCGGGUGUAGCGGUGGAAUGCGUAGAGAUCCGGAGGAACACCAGCGGCGAAGGCGGCAUCCUGGACUGGUACUGACGCUCAGGAGCGAAAGCGUGGGGAGCGAUCCGG
rnacentral:rRNA from 1 species